CAUCCCUGGAAGUGGGAGGAAGCAAACAUUCUUGUGGGUAUGAAACAUCUCCAGGGGUUCCCUGCUUUUCAGGGGGUUGGACUAGAGGACCCUCGCGAUUCUCCUACAACUCUGAAAGUCUGUGAGUCUAUUGAAGGGCAAAGGGGUCGCUGGCAAAGGAUCAGCGCGUCUGGAAGUGGAUGGAUGGCGGCUAACAGAUUGAGGUUGAAUCCUGACAAGACAGAAGUACUGUUUUUGGGGGACAGGAGGCGGGCAGGUGUAGAUGGUUCCCUGGUCCUGAAUGGGGUAACUGUGCCCCUGAAGGACCAGGUGCACAGCCUGGGAGUCAUUUUGGACUCACAGCUGUCCAUGGAGGCGCAGGUCAGUUCUGUGUCCAGGGUGGCUUUCUACCAGCUCCAUGUGGUACACUGGCUGAGACCCUAUCUGCCUGCAGACUGUCUCGCCAGAGUGGUGCAUGCUCUGGUUAUCUUCCGCUUGGACUACUGCAAUGCGCUCUACGUGGGGCUACCUUUGAAGGUGACCCGGAAGCUACAACUAAUCCAGAACGCGGCAGCUAGACUGGUGGCGGCCGCCGAGACCAUAUAACACCGGUCUUGAAAGACCUACAUUGGCUCCCAGUACGUUUCCGAGCACAAUUCAAAGUGUUGGUGCUGACCUUUAAAGCCCUAAACGGCCUCGGUCCAGUAUAUCUGAAGGAGCGUCUCCUCCCCCAUCAUUCUGCCCGGACACUGAGGUCCAGCUCUGAGGGCCUUCUGGCAGUUCCCUCACUGCGAGAGGCCAAGUUACAGGCAACCAGGCAGAGGGCCUUCUCGGUGGUGGCGCCCGCCCUGUGGAACGCCCUUCCAGCAGAUGUCAAAGCGAUAAACAACUACCUGACAUUCAGAAGACAUCUGAAGGCAGCCCUGUUCAGGGAAGUUUUUAAUACGUGACAUUUUAGUGUAUUUUUCAUCUUUGUUGGAAGCCGCCCAGAGUGGCUGGGGAAACCCAGCCAGAUGGGCGGGGUACAAAUAAUAAAUUAUUAUUAUUAUUACU